rnacentral:lncRNA from 1 species
UUUCUUAAGAGCAAAGUAGUGGCCUUCAUUUUUUUUGCAACUGUUGAAUGUGAACUGACUUGUGUUUAGAUUGCAGCUUCGUAUCUCUCUAUUCUUUCAGCGAGCUUUUAGAUUUGGGAAAAUCUGUUCUUCAUUGCUUAUAAGCUGACUAUAAUUGUGUGUUUAGAUUGGAGGUUGCCAAUACAUUGAUAUACCUGGACAAUAUAUCUAUACACAGCACCUUAAAGGAGCCAAACUAUGAUCUAGUUUUACAUUACUACUGUGCUUUAUGCUUUUGAUCUAGGAUUGGGGAUGAGAAUUAACUGUUUAAGAUCAGAAACUAUAUUCAAUUAAAUUUAUGAAUUGAUUUGUUUUUUUUCUUUUGUUCAUUAAUGCAUUCUGCAAGAAGUGAUGGAGGGAAAUCUUGCUAAAACCAUGAAGAAUGUUUCAAGAGGCAUGGAUGUUCUUAUAGUUCCGUUUACCAUCGGCUUUCCAAAGAAUAUAUGUGAAUAA